rnacentral:rRNA from 1 species
UACGAAGGGUGCAAGCGUUACUCGGAAUUACUGGGCGUAAAGCGUGCGUAGGUGGUUCGUUAAGUCCGGUGUGAAAGCCCUGGGCUCAACCUGGGAAUGGCAUGGGAUACUGGCGGGCUAGAGUGCGGUAGAGGGUGGCGGAAUUCCCGGUGUAGCAGUGAAAUGCGUAGAUAUCGGGAGGAACAUCUGUGGCGAAGGCGGCCACCUGGACCAGCACUGACACUGAGGCACGAAAGCGUGGGGAGCAAACAGG